rnacentral:lncRNA from 1 species
AGGCAAAGUAUUUCUUGACUGCAUCUGAAUUCACAGGACGAGUGAAAUCCUCCCCAUCCAUAGUUGUAAGCAUCAAAGCUCCGCCUGAAAAGGCUCUCUUAACAACAUAUGGACCUUCAUAGUUUGGAGUCCACUUGCCCCUGGAAUCGGGCGCGAAAGACAAGACUUUCUUGAGCACGAGGUCACCUUCUCGGAACACACGAGGCUUGACCUUCUUAUCGAAUGCUUUCUUCAUUCUCUGCUGAUAUAACUGACCAUGGCACAUGGCAGUCAAUCGCUUCUCUUCAAUCAAAUUCAACUGGUCAUAACGACUCUGAAUCCAUUCAGCAUCUGUCA